rnacentral:rRNA from 1 species
AACGCUAGCUACAGGCUUAACACAUGCAAGUCGAGGGGCAGCAUGGUCUUAGCUUGCUAAGGCCGAUGGCGACCGGCGCACGGGUGAGUAACACGUAUCCAACCUGCCGUCUACUCUUGGACAGCCUUCUGAAAGGAAGAUUAAUACAAGAUGGCAUCAUGAGUCCGCAUGUUCACAUGAUUAAAGGUAUUCCGGUAGACGAUGGGGAUGCGUUCCAUUAGAUAGUAGGCGGGGUAACGGCCCACCUAGUCUUCGAUGGAUAGGGGUUCUGAGAGGAAGGUCCCCCACAUUGGAACUGAGACACGGUCCAAACUCCUACGGGAGGCAGCAGUGAGGAAUAUUGGUCAAUGGGCGAGAGCCUGAACCAGCCAAGUAGCGUGAAGGAUGACUGCCCUAUGGGUUGUAAACUUCUUUUAUAAAGGAAUAAAGUCGGGUAUGCAUACCCGUUUGCAUGUACUUUAUGAAUAAGGAUCGGCUAACUCCGUGCCAGCAGCCGCGGUAAUACGGAGGAUCCGAGCGUUAUCCGGAUUUAUUGGGUUUAAAGGGAGCGUAGAUGGAUGUUUAAGUCAGUUGUGAAAGUUUGCGGCUCAACCGUAAAAUUGCAGUUGAUACUGGAUAUCUUGAGUGCAGUUGAGGCAGGCGGAAUUCGUGGUGUAGCGGUGAAAUGCUUAGAUAUCACGAAGAACUCCGAUUGCGAAGGCAGCCUGCUAAGCUGCAACUGACAUUGAGGCUCGAAAGUGUGGGUAUCAAACAGGAUUAGAUACCCUGGUAGUCCACACGGUAAACGAUGAAUACUCGCUGUUUGCGAUAUACAGCAAGCGGCCAAGCGAAAGCGUUAAGUAUUCCACCUGGGGAGUACGCCGGCAACGGUGAAACUCAAAGGAAUUGACGGGGGCCCGCACAAGCGGAGGAACAUGUGGUUUAAUUCGAUGAUACGCGAGGAACCUUACCCGGGCUUAAAUUGCAGAUGAAUUACGGUGAAAGCCGUAAGCCGCAAGGCAUCUGUGAAGGUGCUGCAUGGUUGUCGUCAGCUCGUGCCGUGAGGUGUCGGCUUAAGUGCCAUAACGAGCGCAACCCUUGUUGUCAGUUACUAACAGGUUCCGCUGAGGACUCUGACAAGACUGCCAUCGUAAGAUGUGAGGAAGGUGGGGAUGACGUCAAAUCAGCACGGCCCUUACGUCCGGGGCUACACACGUGUUACAAUGGGGGGUACAGAGGGCCGCUACCACGCGAGUGGAUGCCAAUCCCAAAAACCUCUCUCAGUUCGGACUGGAGUCUGCAACCCGACUCCACGAAGCUGGAUUCGCUAGUAAUCGCGCAUCAGCCACGGCGCGGUGAAUACGUUCCCGGGCCUUGUACACACCGCCCGUCAAGCCAUGGGAGCCGGGGGUACCUGAAGUGCGUAACCGCGAGGAGCGCCCUAGGGUAAAACUGGUGACU